GCUGGGUGCAGUGGUGCACCCCUGUAAUCCCAGCGGCUCAGGAGGCUGAGGCAGGAGGAUCCGUGAGUUCAAAGACAGCCUCAGCAAAAGCGAGGCCCUAAGCAACUCAGUGAGACCCUGUCUCUA
rnacentral:sRNA from 1 species